GUGGAUUAGAUACCCUGGUAGUCCAUGCCGUAAACGUUGGGCACUAGGUGUGGGGGACAUUCCACGUUUUCCGCGCCGUAGCUAACGCAUUAAGUGCCCCGCCUGGGGAGUACGGCCGCAAGGCUAAAACUCAAAGGAAUUGACGGGGGCCCGCACAAGCGGCGGAGCAUGCGGAUUAAUUCGAUGCAACGCGAAGAACCUUACCAAGGCUUGACAUGGACCGGAUCGCCGCAGAAAUGUGGUUUCCCCUUUGGGGCUGGUUUACAGGUGGUGCAUGUCCGUCGCCAACU
rnacentral:rRNA from 1 species